ACCUCACGGUUUCCUUUUCCUGCCCUACAGUACGACUCCUUCGGCGCCACUUUAAGAUCCCUUCUUUAAAAAUCCCAUCUGAACGGCUUUUAAAAAUGUGUUGCUGUUGGGGGUUGCGGAGAAAAUUCAUUUUUCCAUGACUUUUCCAAUCAGGUACCGCAUUGGUGCAAAAUUCAUUUUUCCAUGACUUUUCCAAUCGGGUACCGCAUUGGUGCAAAAUUCAUUUUUCCAUGACUUUUCCAAUCAGGUACCGCAUUGGUGCAGGCUUCUUCCCAAAGCAUGUGCCCAGGCCCAGUUCUGUGCAGAGAGGAUGCGGAACAGCAGGCUGAUAGGACUUUCUGGAGCUUCAGUUUUACUAUGAGAUUUGCAACAGCUGAAGUUCAGCAAUUUACAAGGAUCUCCAGAAGUGGAUGGCGCACUGGUUCUUGUUCUAGACCGUGACUUCAUUUUUUCCCUCCCAAUCUGUGGAAUCCUAAGCUGUGGGUUGGAUCCCCCAGUAGCCCUGGAAGGACUGCUGCAUGGAGGCUGGGCUUCUCUCCUUGAAAAUGUUUAUUGGAAAAGAAAAAUAAGUUGCCU
rnacentral:lncRNA from 1 species